rnacentral:lncRNA from 1 species
AUAUUUUAGGUUUCUCUUUAAAUCCUACCAAAAUUAUUUGUUUUCAAUCCCGUGUAGCAGCAACUCGUUUGGUAUAUGUUCGAGAGUAAUCGUUUAAUAUAUGUAUGAUAAGUAAAGGUAAAAGUUUAAUUACUCAAAUAAAUACUUAACACUUUUAUACAAUUUUUAUUUAUUUAUUUCAAUAAUAAUGUAUGGAGUUAAAUAGUUUAAUUAAACGUUUUGGUUAUUGGUUAUAGAUGCAUAUAAUAUAACUAGUUGGUGAUAAAAAUUCAAAUUUUUUUAAACAUUUGAUCAUAAUAUGCUUAUCAAUGUAGUGGAAAAUGAAAAUAGAAAGAAGAAAAAAAAGACUACAAAUACAAGAAUUUGAAAGGGCAAAUUGAAUUGAUAAGGUCAAUAUGAAGGUGGGGAACAUAAAGAAUCACAUACAUGUUAAAGCCAGGCUGCCAUUUGCUCAUUGGCCUUCUCUUUCUUUUGUUGUCUUAUGGAAAUUGAAACUUGAAGGGAUCUUUCACUCUAUCACUCCCUGAUUCUGUGGCAAAUCUUUGUCAUUUUACUCUUUUAUUUAUCACUGCCCUAUCAUUUUUUGUUUACUUCAGUUACCUUAUGGUUAUGGGAGAGUAACACAAAUUAUUUCAUUUAUGACAUGAUGUUUGUGUGUCAGUGAUGUAUGAAUACGAUCUUUUUCAUGGGAAACGCUCUUAGUUUUGUUGGUUAUGUAGAGUUCUGAAAACAUCAAUAUGUCACUUUUUAGUCAUGUUAAGUACAACGGACCUUCAGAUAUCUCCACAAUGAUAUGAUAUUUGUCCAUUUUGAACAUACAUUCUCAUGAUUUUGCUUUAGCUCAACAAUCUAUAGUGGUUGGUCGUCCAUUCGACCACGAACAUGUACUUUGAACAUAACUAUGUCUCAUUCGACAACUAAGGAUUUUUUUUAGUGAUGAGACAUUAUUCUAACACCAAUUUAUUAGGGACAACAAACCUUCAAAUAUAUCUUCACAAACUUUAGGCAGGACUCUCAUGAUCACUUUGUUUUUUUGGAUUCACCCAAAAAAGUUUUGUACCAUUGGAGAUAGUUGUCAUCUCUUAUAAAUCAUGAUUAUUCUCUUAUUUAACUGACGUGAGACUUUGAUCGCAUUCCCACUUAAAAAGCUUUGAUUUUUAAAAAAUUACUUGAUGGUUUG